rnacentral:rRNA from 1 species
UACAGAGGUCUCAAACGUUGUUCGGAUUCAUUGGGCGUAAAGGGUGCGUAGGCGGCGCGGUAAGUCGGGUGUGAAAUCUCGGAGCUUAACUCCGAAACUGCAUUCGAUACUGCCGUGCUUGAGGACUGGAGAGGAGACUGGAAUUUACGGUGUAGCGGUGAAAUGCGCAGAUAUCAGGAGGAACACCGGUGGCGAAGGCGGGUCUCUGGGCCGAUACUGACGCUGAGGAGCGAAAGCGUGGGGAGCGAACAGG